rnacentral:rRNA from 1 species
GAUGAACGCUGGCGGCGUGCUUAACACAUGCAAGUCGAACGAUGAAGCCCAGCUUGCUGGGUGGAUUAGUGGCGAACGGGUGAGUAACACGUGAGUAACCUGCCCUUAACUCUGGGAUAAGCCUGGGAAACUGGGUCUAAUACCGGAUAGGAGCGUCCACCGCAUGGUGGGUGUUGGAAAGAUUUAUCGGUUUUGGAUGGACUCGCGGCCUAUCAGCUUGUUGGUGAGGUAAUGGCUCACCAAGGCGACGACGGGUAGCCGGCCUGAGAGGGUGACCGGCCACACUGGGACUGAGACACGGCCCAGACUCCUACGGGAGGCAGCAGUGGGGAAUAUUGCACAAUGGGCGCAAGCCUGAUGCAGCGACGCCGCGUGAGGGAUGACAGCCUUCGGGUUGUAAACCUCUUUCAGUAGGGAAGAAGCGAAAGUGACGGUACCUGCAGAAGAAGCACCGGCUAACUACGUG